rnacentral:rRNA from 1 species
GUAUUACCGCGGCUGCUGGCACGUAGUUAGCCGUGACUUUCUGGUUGAUUACCGUCAAAUAAAGGCCAGUUACUACCUCUAUCCUUCUUCACCAACAACAGAGCUUUACGAUCCGAAAACCUUCUUCACUCACGCGGCGUUGCUCCAUCAGACUUGCGUCCAUUGUGGAAGAUUCCCUACUGCUGCCUCCCGUAGGAGU